AUUGAACGCUGGCGGCAGGCCUAACACAUGCAAGUCGAACGAGUGGCGGACGGGUGAGUAAUGUCUGGGAAACUGCCUGAUGGAGGGGGAUAACUACUGGAAACGGUAGCUAAUACCGCAUACCAUCGGAUGUGCCCAGAUGGGAUUGGCUAGUAGGGGGGGUAAAGGCUCACCUAGGCGACGAUCCCUAGCUGGUCUGAGAGGAUGACCGGCAACACUGGACCUGAGACACGGUCCAGACUCCUAGGGGAGGCAGCAGUGGGGAAUAUUGCACAAUGGGCGAAAGCCGGAUGCAGCAAUGCCGCGUGUAUGGAGAAGGCCUUCGGGUUGUAAAGUACUUUCAGCGGGGAGGCGUUACCCGCAGAAGAAGCACCGGCUAACUCCGUGCCAGCAGCCGCGGUAAUUC
rnacentral:rRNA from 1 species